AUUGAACGCUGGCGGCAUGCCUUACACAUGCAAGUCGAACGGUAACAGGUCUUCGGAUGCUGGCGAGUGGCGAACGGGUGAGUAAUACAUCGGAACGUGCCUAGUAGUGGGGGAUAACUACUCGAAAGAGUGGCUAAUACCGUAUGAGAUCUACGGAUGAAAGCAGGGGAUCGCAAGACCUUGUGCUACUAGAGCGGCCGAUGGCAGAUUAGGUAGUGGGUGGGAUAAAAGCUUACCAAGCCGACGAUCUGUAGCUGGUCUGGGAGGACGAUCCGCAACAAUAGGAAGGAGCACCGGCCCAAACUCUUACGGGAGGCAGCAGUGGGGAAUUUUGUACAAGGGGCGAGAGCCUGAUCUAGUAGUGCCGCAUGAAGAAUGAAGGCCUUGGGUUUGUAAACUGCGUUUGUACGGAACGAAAAGGCCCGGGUUAAUACCCUGGGGUCAUGACGGUACCGUAAGAAUAAGCACCGGUUAACUACGGGCCAGCCGCCGCCGUAA
rnacentral:rRNA from 1 species